rnacentral:lncRNA from 1 species
UGGAAGUCGCCGGAACCGUACGGAGAUCGACGAAGCUCUUUUCUUUCGUUUCGUCAAAGAAGAUAAUACGACCACGUAAAAUCACCGGAGCUCGAAGACGACAUCACGAUGGAACUCGUAAACCAGCAGCAUCGGUUAUCCGUUUCGUUCAUUCGGUUCCCCAAUCGCUACUCGUGCGUUAUUACAAGAAAUCGCAACGCAACAAUGUGA